rnacentral:rRNA from 1 species
AACAGGAUUAGAUACCCUGGUAGUCCACGCUGUAAACGAUGUCGACUUGGAGGUUGUGCCCUUGAGGCGUGGCUUCCGGAGCUAACGCGUUAAGUCGACCGCCUGGGGAGUACGGCCGCAAGGUUAAAACUCAAAUGAAUUGACGGGGGCCCGCACAAGCGGUGGAGCAUGUGGUUUAAUUCGAUGCAACGCGAAGAACCUUACCUACUCUUGACAUCCAGAGGAUUUGCUAGAGAUAGCUUAGUGCCUUCGGGAACUCUGAGACAGGUGCUGCAUGGCUGUCGUCAGCUCGUGUUGUGAAAUGUUGGGUUAAGUCCCGCAACGAGCGCAACCCUUAUCCUUUGUUGCCAGCACGUAAUGGUGGGAACUCAAAGGAGACUGCCGGUGCUAAACCGGAGGAAGGUGGGGAUGACGUCAAGUCAUCAUGGCCCUUACGAGUAGGGCUACGCACGUGCUACAAUGGCAUAUACAAAGAGAAGCGAACUCGCGAGAGCAAGCGGACCUCAUAAAGUAUGUCGUAGUCCGGAUUGGAGUCUGCAACUCGACUCCAUGAAGUCGGAAUCGCUAGUAAUCGUAGAUCAGAAUGCUACGGUGAACACGUUCCCGGGCCUUGUACACACCGCCCGUCACACCAUGGGAGUGGGUUGCAAAAGAAGUAGGUAGCUUAACCUUCGGGAGGGCGCUUACCACUUUGUGAUUCAUGACUGGGGUGAAGUCGUAACAAGGUAACC